CCGCACGAAAGGCGUAACGAUCUGGGCACUGUCUCAACGAGAGACUCGGUGAAAUUAUAUUGUCCGUGAAGAUGCGGACUACCCGCGACAGGACGGAAAGACCCCAUGGAGCUUUACUGUAGCUUGAUAUUGAGUGUUUGUACAGCUUGUACAGGAUAGGUAGGAGCCAUAGAAACCGGAACGCUAGUUUCGGUGGAGGCAUUGGUGGGAUACUACCCUCGCUGUAUGACCACUCUAACCCGCACCACUAAUCGUGGUGGGAGACAGUGUCAGGUGGGCAGUUUGACUGGGGCGGUCGCCUCCUAAAAAGUAACGGAGGCGCCCAAAGGUUCCCUCAGAAUGGUUGGAAAUCAUUCGCAGAGUGUAAAGGCACAAGGGAGCUUGACUGCGAGACAGACAGG
rnacentral:rRNA from 2 species